rnacentral:lncRNA from 1 species
AAGAAUUAGUGCUAUAGCCUUAAAAAAGUCAAAAGGCUAAAAUAAAGGCUAAAAUCUAUACAACAAUUUUAACAAUUUUACGUAAAAAUUUUAAUAUCUUGUUUUACUCCGUUGAUAUCUUCUUGUUGUCGUAUCUGCUGCUUUUCCAUAUCUCCAUUAUUGCUUCUUAUCUUAUCUUCCAGCUGGCAUGCUCAUAUUCUUGAUUUUUUAUUCUAGGUGGACUUCUGGGAUAAUAUUAUCUUCUCCAUUACAUCUUGAACAUUGAUAGUCUGGAUAUUUGUAUCCAAUUAUCUUGCAAUAUCUUGUCAAUAAUCCGUCUGAAAUAAAUCCUUUCUUAAUUGCUCUUGCAGUAGAUUAUUUUUCUGGGUUAAGUAAUGUCAUUAUCCAUUGCCUAACAUCUUUCAUAUCUGCUUAUCGUAGCUCUUUUGAAUUUGAAUAAAUCAUCUGAUGGUCUCUCGAAUAAUAGCUCCAUAUUGGUUUUCCAUUGGUAUAAUUAUUUGCUAAUUCUUGAAUAAUUGUAGCUAAUCCAAUGAGUCGUUUAUUUACGUAGAAAUCAGGUAUCUCAAUUCUGGGUAUCUCUGGCUGCUGCGUAAUAUCUUCC